rnacentral:rRNA from 1 species
GACGAACGCUGGCGGCGUGCUUAACACAUGCAAGUCGAACGAGAGCGUAGAGAAAGCUUGCUUUUUCUACAAUCUAGUGGCAAACGGGUGAGUAACGCGUAAACAACCUGCCCUACGGAUGGGGACAACAGCUGGAAACGGCUGCUAAUACCGAAUACGUUCCGAAAGUCGCAUGACUAUCGGAAGAAAGGAUGGCCUCUAUUUAUAAGCUAUCGCCGGAGGAGGGGUUUGCGUCUGAUUAGCUAGUUGGAGGGGUAACGGCCCACCAAGGCGACGAUCAGUAGCCGGUCUGAGAGGAUGAACGGCCACAUUGGAACUGAGACACGGUCCAGACUCCUACGGGAGGCAGCAGUGGGGAACCUUCCGCAAUGGGAGAAAGCCUGACGGAGCAACGCCGCGUGAGUGAAGACGGCCUUCGGGUUGUAAAGCUCUGUUAUACGGGACGAAUAAUCUUGUGGUUAAUACCCAUGAGAAGUGACGGUACCGGAAGAGAAAGCCACGGCUAACUACGUG